UACAGAGGGGGCCAGCGUUAUUCGGAAUUAUUGGGCGUAAAGGGCGCGUAGGCGGCUUCGCGUGUCUUCCGUGAAAUCCCUCGGCUUAACUGAGGACGUGCGGAAGAAACUGUGAGGCUCGAGUCCGGGAGAGGGGGGUGGAAUUCCCAGUGUAGCGGUGAAAUGCGUAGAUAUUGGGAGGAACACCAGUGGCUAAGGCGGCUCACUGGACCGGUACUGACGCUGAUGCGCGAAAGCGUGGGGAGCAAACGGG
rnacentral:rRNA from 1 species